rnacentral:rRNA from 1 species
UACAGAGGUGGCAAGCGUUGCUCGGUAUCACUGGGCUUAAAGGGCGCGUAGGCGGUGCGGUACGGUUUCGGUGAAAUCCCUCGGCCCAACCGAGGAACAGCCGGGACAACGGCCGUGCUAGACGGCAUCAGGGGACAGUGGAACUCCCGGUGGAGCGGUGAAAUGCGUAGAGAUCGGAAGGAACACCAGUGGCGAAGGCGGCUGCCUGGACAGAUACUGACGCUGAGGCGCGAGAGCGUGGGGAGCAAACAGG